CGCGACACCAAGAUACGUGCAGCCGACGCAAGUGUACUCGCCGAGCGCAGCCAUGCUGGGAGAAAUGUACCCAUUCUCUUGGCCUGUUGGUGGAAGUAAUUGAGCAAGGAUGUAGAGUUCUUCCUCCUCGAGUCCACCUCUGUGUUUGAGGAAGACCAAAGUUUGCUGUAUCACCAGGAGCUGCUUGCAGGAAUCUUGACAGGCCUUUUCCCUUUCAAGAAUGGCACAAGGUAGAAGUUUUCUGUAUGAUUGACUCUUUACAAAGACUAUCCAAAGUUUGGGAGCACUUUUGUGGAGGCUGGGCAUCCACUGAGAGCUAGCAGUGGGUCUCACUGGCAAUUGGGAUCACAGAAACUUUGUGAUUUAGCUGAGGUUUUAGGACUCAAGAGUUGAAUGAUGAGCAUGGAGUUUGCAUGUAAGUUGUUCUACCUGAGAAUGUGAGGCAAGUUUGCAGAGAAGAAGAUUGUUUUAAAAGUGCUCAUUCUUGCAAUAACAUUCUUGAUUUCCAUUGUUAAUAGACUCAUUCUAGCUUGAACAUUGUCAUGUUCAGUAGACAUAAAAGAAAGUUUCUGAUUAAUUA